rnacentral:piRNA from 1 species
UGCAUAGCUGAUCCGAGAUGUUGCAACUCUA